rnacentral:tRNA from 1 species
AGUAAAGUCAGCUAAACAAGCUAUCGGGCCCAUACCCCGAAAAUGCCCUCGGGCCUUUACCA